GAUGAACGCUGGCGGCGUGCCUAAUACAUGCAAGUCGAGCGAACGGAUGAGAAGCUUGCUUCUCUGAUGUUAGCGGCGGACGGGUGUGUAACACGUGUAUAACCUACCUAUAAGACUGGGAUAACUUCGGGAAACCGGCUCUAAUACCGUAUAAUCUUUUGCACCGCAUGGUUCAAUAGUGAAAGACGGUCUUUCUGUCACUUCUCGAUGGUUCCGCGCUGCAUUAGCUAGUUGUUAAGGUAACGGCUUACCAAGGCAACGAUGCAUAGCCGACCUGAGAGAGUGAUAGGCGACACGGGAACUGAGACAGGGACAAGACUACUAAGGGAGGCAGCAGUAGGGAAUCUGCAGCAAUGGGCGAAAGCAUGACGGAGCAACGGCGAGUGAGUGAUGAAGGUCUUCGGAUCGUAAAAAUCUGUUAUUAGGGAAGAACAUAUGUGUAAGUAAAUGUGCACAGAUUGACGGUACCUAAUAAGAAAGCAACGGCUAACUACGUG
rnacentral:rRNA from 1 species